UACGUAGGCAGCGAGCGUUGUUCGGAAUUACUGGGCGUAAAGAGUGUGUAGGCGGUGUUCCAAGUCUGGUGUGAAAUCUCCCGGCUCAACUGGGAGGGUGCGCCGGAAACUGGAAUGCUAGAGGGUGGGAGAGGUAAGCGGAAUUCCUGGUGUAGCGGUGAAAUGCGUAGAUAUCAGGAGGAACACCUGUGGUGUAGACAGCUUACUGGACCACUUCUGACGCUGAGACACGAAAGCGUGGGGAGCAAACAGG
rnacentral:rRNA from 1 species